UUUGCUUGUUGCAGGUUUUUUGCUGCAAUUUGUUUCUCUUUGUUUGGAGUAGAUAAUGCAAUUGUUCAAUUAUUUUAUAUAAUAUUUUUACUUAUCUUUGAUUUUUUAAUUGUUUUCCUUAUGUAGUUGUAAUGGAUGAUGAACACAUUUUUUAUUUUCUUCUUCUGUGGAGGAUGUAUAUCUAUAUUUUGUCCAUGUAUGCUGCUGGU
rnacentral:lncRNA from 1 species